UAUAUAUAUAUCUCCCCAAGAAGGAGAUUGUGGUAUGCCUCACCAUGGAGAUAAUGGUAUGCCUCACCAGGGAGAUAAUCAUCCUCAGGUCUUUAGAAUGACCAUUUGCAGUUUACUAUGCCUAGUUUUAGUGGGAAGAAGGUUUAGCUGUUGUCUCACCAAACACAACAGGCCCUCUCAUCAGGAUUUAACCAAGCAGAGGUCCCCAGGAGCAUCAGUCAGCUGUUUAAACAGAAUCCUUUCUGAGGGCACAGGAGAUGAGGGACUUGUCUAAUAAGUUGCAUCUCCAGAACCUUAUGACUUGAGGUCCUCCACAAAACUAAACUCUGUAACUUGACCUUUCUGAGAGCUCUGUGUUCCUCAUCUGAAGUAAGAAUAACAACACCUACAUUACAGGGUUAUUUUGAAAAUCAAAUAAGACAUCAUGAAUAUAGCCAUGCCAGUACAUAGUAGGGCUCAAAGUAAAUGUGCAUAGGUAAACUUAAUGCCAUGUGGAGAAAAUUGUACUGGUUCCAGCCUUUUGAAUAUGUGUUUUUUUUUCUUUUCAGGUAACUCAGCUGGACCCCAAUAAAUCACUAUUGGAGGUAAAAUUGUUCCCUCAAGAAACCCUUUUCCUUGAAGCAAAAGAGUAAACACAGCUCAGCGGUGGAACCAGCCUUUCCUUGACAAGCCAGAGGCCUGUGUCAAGAGAUGGGCUCCUCGCCAACCCACCCACACGCUCGUCUCACUCAAUUCAAUGUCACACUUCUGCCUCUUGCAAGAUUGCUGGAAAAAAAAAAAGUAAUAAUAAACAUAGCUACUUAAAAUUUCCCAUCCAUGAGUAUAUGUUCCCAGCCCUCAUUCCAGAGAAUUGCAACUCUGCCACCCUCCCCUAUCCCCUGCACUUCACCCUUGUUCAAUGACUAAUGUACUAUUCAAGUGUGAGUGAUCACUAGUAGAAUUUUUACCUCUCCAGUGCCUAUUUUUCCCCCACAGUGUCAAAGACAGUUCUGUCUGUCCUGUGACACCAGGAUACUGUGUAUUUGAUAUGUCUCAUUGAGCCAAGACUCACACCUCUGCCUUUUUAUUUUCAUGACUGGAUUUCUACUUUGUCACCUACUUUUAAGAGGCAGGGGGGGAGUCGAAUGGGACAUUCUUGGCAUGGAGAUUAAACGUUGUAGGAAAAAAAAAAUGUAUAUCAUUUUUGUUGGUACUUUCUGACUUCUUUACUGAGAUAAAAGGUUUUGUUUGAGGAUUGGUUUAACAUAUAUGCAAGAUAUUUAUUCACUGCUGCUGCCUUGGGUCUGCAGGUUCCAUCUAGGAGCCGAAUGGGAAAUUGUUCAAGUAUACAUGUGAAUGUUGAAAUAGUGUACAGAGGGGACUAAUACCCAGACUUUGGUAUCUGGCGCAGCUGUGGGAAGCUGCUGUUGGGUUUGGAUUUGGGCAGUAAGGAACCCAAUGGAUACCAACUCCCACAUUGCUGGUCCAUCAGUAUACACUGAGCACAGUUCUCUCUUGCUCUUGUCUCCCUCUACUUCUUCAAGCAUUCGAACCUUAUCACCUGGUAUUUUAAGCACCUUUUCUAUUGCCAAAAUCUGACCAGCUAUCCCUCCAGCUCUCCUACAUUAAAGAACUUGCUCUGAUAUUUCACUAUUUUAACAUUAGAUAUUGAAAAGAGCAAACCUGGGGGCUCAGCCCAGAAGACAUGUUACCUGAAUCCACAUGUAAUAAUUUGGGGUUUGAUUUAGUAAUUGUGGAUUUUGCUAACUAUGGAUUUGGGGUUUGGAGUAAUUCAUGGAACACUGUUUAUAUACCUUCACAGCCAAUGAUUUCCUUUUGGUCUGGGAAUAUUCUCCAUAGCUGUUUUUGUGUCACCUGUUGUCUUUAUCCUAGGGUUUGAGAUCCCAAUUUUUACAUUUUUUACUUGAGCAAAAGAGAACAUAAGAGCUUAAGUUUAUUCCCCUGACUCUGGCAAGGGGUUCUCAGAAGACUCUAACCAAAACUGGAGAUAUGCCUGGUUAGUUUCCCUCUGACCAGAAGUGUGUGUAGGCCAAGAAAGUCCCAUCUUGUGUAUUUUCUCUGAUGUUCCACCAGGGACUUCCCUUGAAAACUCUCUUAAAAAGAGAUGUGUUCCUAACUGACUACGCUUUAUCUGCCUAUAUGUGGACCUUCUCUGGCCCCAGGGAGACUGAAAAGGAGACCCACUGUAGGGGGAGUUCCAGCUGAGUACUUUGUCUCCAGCUCCACUCCUUCCUUCUUAAUCUAGUGACUCUACCACACAGUCAUUCUUGGUGCUACAGACCCACCAGGGCAACAGCUCAUUUCCCAGGUGGACCUUGUUCUGUAGCUGCUGUGGAGAAGUGGCAGCCUGAACUCAGGCCAUACUCAGGAACAGCAGCCAGAGUGUAGGUAAGUGUUUAAGAGAAGGGUCUCUGAAUUCACCUUCAUGCUUAAUUAACCUUUCCUGUCAUUCCCCUUCAAUUCUGUAUCCCAACAAUAUAGACUUUACUCUGAAACCAAUUUUAUAAAAGUUAUUAAAUGUUACAUGAAUGUGUGAAGUUGAUAUGCCCUUUUCAAUCCUGUCUUGGAAAGUUCUCAGUCUACCCAGUCCCAUGAACUCCCUGUCCUCUAGGCCCUCAGCUAAUUGUCACUGUUCACUUGUAACCUUCUGGUCUACUGAGCUCUAGAACAGGAGGCCAAAGCAAUUUUAUACCUUUUCAUGCAAACACAACAUUAAAAUGACUUUGUUCUCACCAUAGAUUCGGCGGUA
rnacentral:lncRNA from 1 species